UACGUAGGGGGCAAGCGUUGUCCGGAAUUACUGGGCGUAAAGAGCGCGUAGGCGGUCCGAUAAGUCGGCUGUGAAAGUCAGGGGCUCAACCCUUGAAAGCCGGCCGAUACUGUCGGACUAGAGUCCGGAAGAGGCAAGUGGAAUUCCCGGUGUAGCGGUGAAAUGCGCAGAUAAUCGGGAGGAACACCAAUGGCGAAGGCAGCU
rnacentral:rRNA from 1 species